rnacentral:lncRNA from 1 species
AAACCAUUUUUGAUGCAUUCUUGUAGCAACAAAAUCCAAAAACUAUGCAUAUAUAUAUAUAUGUAAAAUUCUUGGAUUCUGUUAAUAGGAGAGUAUAUUUGUUUGUAUAAUAGGGUUUUUUAAUUAAAAUUAUAUAAAUUGGGUGAGUAUCAUUUGUAUAUAUAUUUUUUAAAAAUCCAUACCUCUGCUCUAAAAGCAGCUAAGGGAUUGUCAUGAAGGUCUUUUUGAGCAAGUCGUAAAUAUUCACUUUCAGGUAUUUCAGUGGCAUUGCAGCAGGAAUGAUGUUUGAUUGUAUGUGCCAUAAUUCUUCAAUGUUGUAUAACUUUAAGCCUCAAUUAUAUUAUAAAUUGUUUUAGUGCCAAGCACUGGCAUUAUAGGAGUAAUUUUUUUAUAUUACUUCUAAAAUAUAUAUAUAUAUAUAUUAACAAUUACAUUCCAUAAUUUAUUCACUUGUGUAGGUAAUUCUAACUUUUGAAGGCUCUCUCAAACACACACAACACACACAAAUAAAAGGUACUAUAUCUUGCAGUGUUUGUAAAUAAAGAAAAGACCUAACUUAAUCAACAUUUUUGGACUCUGCUCAUAAAUUACAUAUAUGAUGUUAUUUUUACAAAAAAAACUUUUGUUUUAGGGGGAAUAAACCGAUUGUUGAACAGAAUAUUCCAAUAAUGAUAGAUGAUCUUUUACAAUAAGUAUAGUUUGAAAAAAAAUAAAAAAAAUAAACUAAUCAUUUGAUAAACACAGUUAAAAUUCCUUUGUUAGGUUAAGAAUACAGAGUCUUUUUUCAGAAAAGAAAUAUAAAAAAAGUUAAAAAAUAUAACUUUUUUUUUCUGCUUACAUGAAAAGUUAUUUAUUAAUACAUUUUACUACCAUUGUUUCAAAAUUGAUUCUUUGAGAUUGAAUUCCCAUUUACACUUAUUUAUUUCUUUGUUUAUUUGAAUAAGAGUACUGUGGGUACUGCAAGAAAAGAAAAAGAGAAAAAAGAAAAAAAUCACAGUUGUUUAAUCAUUACUCUGGUUUUGUAAAAUCUUGUUUUGAGUACUAUAAUUUAUAUUUGAGGAAAAAAGAAAUCAACAAACAAAAGAAAAGAAAACAUCUUUAGAAAAUUUUGUUGGAUAUGUUGCAUAAAUAUAAAAUAAAAUAACUACAUUCUAUGUGAACAUAGUAAUUUUUGCUUAAGGUUUUUAUUCAAAAACAAUCAUAGUACAUAACUAUUAUUAAAAGACCAAUAUAUGUAGAUAUGACUUGUUUUUGAAAAAUAUGUUGGAACAUAAAUGUUUUCUUCAAAUAAUUUUACAGAAACUCCAAAAAUACUCAAAGCUACAAAUCAUUAGACAAGUGUUGUAAAUCACAACAAAUACUUUACACAAACUGAAAUUGCAAUGAUGGCAAUUUGAAGAACUACAGUUAGGUGAAUCAAUAUAUUUAUUAAUCAUAUUUUAUAGAAUAAAAUUACAUCUUAAUUUAAAUUACAAUAAAAUUCACUAAUUUUUAAAUUAAAGAACAUACAUUACAUGAGUAUUAUUUGAUUAUUAUUGUACACACACCCGUAAUGUCUACGCACAAAUCCAAGGCAUUUAACAUGAUUUGUGCACCAAAACAAGGAAGAGGGUGAAGAGGGUGAAGAGGUCCAAGACCCAUGCAAGACAAGGUGGAGUGUAUGUAUAUAGACAUUAUGGGUGUACAUAUAGCAAUUUGGGAUGUGCUUGUAGUGGAAGCCAUAUUAUUUUGGAAACUAAACAACUAUUUUGAGUAAUUUUGUAGUAUUUUAACAAAUUCAUGCAAUUUUUUUUUAUGUUAAUUGAUUAGAGUUUACAUUAAAUUUAUUUUGCAAGAUAUUCAUAAUAUUUUUUUUACAAAAUUAAAGGCUUAAAAAUAUGGUAAAAGUGUGUAGAUAUGAAAAAAAUACCACCGUUUUUUUAAUACCAAGAUAGGUAUCUUGAUAAAUUUCUAAGGUUCAAGAAAAAAUAAUCAAAAUGUCGUAUGCAUACUCUAUAGGGUGUCAUUUUUGCUAAUGUUAAUCACACAUGCAUUACUUCUAUUCUACCAAUAGAUUUCAAAC